rnacentral:ncRNA from 1 species
GAUAAGCUCAAAAGUAGCGUUUUGAGAUAAAGCCCGUCUAUGGCAUAACUAAAUGUAGCUGGAAUACAGGUAGACCGUUCCAUAAGUUAGUUAGUAAGUCCCACAA